AACGAACGUUGGCGGCGUGGAUUAGGCAUGCAAGUCGAACGCGAACGGGUGAAGCACUUCGGUGCGGAUCCUUAUUAGAGUGGCGGAAGGGUGAGUAAUGCAUAGAUAACCUGCCCCCUUGUUGGGGACAACCCCGGGAAACCGGGGCUAAUACCGAAUAUGGCGGCACUGUCGCAUGGCGGAGCCGUUAAAGGCGGGGAACGGUUUGGACAUAGGACAUUGGAUGCCGACUGCCGGAUUGCCCGGCGGCCGGCCUGACCAGUGUCCGGUGUCCAGACUGUCCUGUCGCAAGGGGAGGGAUCUAUGUCCUAUCAGCUUGUUGGUGAGGUAACGGCUCACCAAGGCUCCGACGGGUAGCCGGACUGAGAGGUCGAUCGGCCACACUGGGACUGAGACACUGCCCAGACUCCUACGGGAGGCUGCAGUCGAGAACCCUCGGCAAUGCGCGAAAGCGUGACCGGGCGACGCCGCGUGUGGGAUGAAGGCCUUCGGGUUGUAAACUACUGUUGCAGGUUAAGAAUAAGCGUGUGUUAAUAUCACACGUGAUGACUAAGGCC
rnacentral:rRNA from 1 species